rnacentral:rRNA from 1 species
AUGGUUAAAGAAGAAAAAGAAGAAAACAGGGGUUCUGUUGAAUUUCAAGUAUUCAGUUUCACCAAUAAGAUACGGAGACUUGCUUCACAUUUGGAAUUACACAAAAAAGAUUUUUCUUCGGAAAGAGGUCUACGAAGACUUUUGGGAAAACGUCGACGUUUGCUGGCUUAUUUGGCAAAGAAAAAUAGAGUACGUUAUAAGAAAUUAAUCGGCUAG